GCCUGUGUGGCUCAGUCGGUUGAGCGCCGGACUUCGGCUCAGGUCAUGGUCUCGUGGUGCGUGGGUUCGAGCCCCGCGUCGGGCU
rnacentral:tRNA from 1 species